CAGGGUCACAUGAUGAUUUUUAAGCAUAGUUCAAAUGAUCAAUAUAUGAUUCAAAACACCUUUCGCCUUUUUCUGAUGACUCUA